rnacentral:rRNA from 1 species
AGAGUUUGAUCAUGGCUCAGGAUAAACGCUGGCGGCGUGCCUAACACAUGCAAGUCGUACCUCUGCGCGAGCAGGGAGUGGCGGACGGGUGAGUAACACGUGGGUUAUCUACCAAGAAGUGAGGAAUACCAGCGAGAAAUCGCUGACAAGACCGCAUACGUUUCGUAAGAAACAAAGUCGCAAGACGCUUUUUGAUGAGCCUGCGCCCGAUUAGCUGGUUGGUGGGGUAAAGGCCUACCAAGGCUGCGAUCGGUAGCUGGUCUGAGAGGACGAUCAGCCACACUGGGAUUGAGAACGGCCCAGACUCCUACGGGGGGCAGCAGUGAGGAAUUUUCCGCAAUGGACGAAAGUCUGACGGAGCAACGCCGCGUGCAGGAUGAAGGUUUUCGGAUCGUAAACUGCUUUUCUCUGGGACGAGAAUGGACGGUACCAGAGGAAUCAGCCUCGGCUAACUACGUGCCAGCAGCCGCGGUAAUACGUAGGAGGCAAGCGUUGUCCGGAGUUACUGGGCGUAAAGCGCACGCAGGCGGUCUCUCGCGUUGCCACUGACAGUUUGUAGCUUAACUACAAAAGGUGUGACAAAGCGGAGAGACUUGAGGGCUUCAGAGGAAGAGAGAAUUCCGGGUGGAGUGGUGAAAUGCGUAGAGAUCCGGAGGAAUACCAAAGGCGAAGGCACUCUUCUGGGAAGUUCCUGACGCUCAGGUGCGAAAGCUAGGGGAGCGAACGGGAUUAGAUACCCUAGUAGUCC